GAAGAAGACGAGAAGGGACUACAGUUGCAGGUGGAGUCAUAUGGAGUCUGGGAGUAGCAGCGGUGCUCAUGGUGUAUCUCAAGUCCAAUGUACAUGGAGGUUCGACGCACGGACGAAUUCAAGGUGGUGGAGAAUAUUCGCCAAGGUGAAGUUUGUUAGAGUUGUGUCGAAUAUUAUUGUACAAGUUAGGUUAUAGUUGGACUUGGAGUCGUACG
rnacentral:rRNA from 1 species